rnacentral:rRNA from 1 species
CGAAUGAACGCUGGCGGCAGGCCUAACACAUGCAAGUCGAACGGGUCCUUCGGGACUAGUGGCGGACGGGUGAGUAAACGCGUGGGAACAUACCCAAAGGUACGGAAUAGCCUCGGGAAACUGAGAGUAAUACCGUAUGUGCCCUUCGGGGGAAAGAUUUAUCGCCUUUGGAUUGGCCCGCGUUGGAUUAGGUAGUUGGUGGGGUAAUGGCCUACCAAGCCGACGAUCCAUAGCUGGUUUGAGAGGAUGAUCAGCCACACUGGGACUGAGACACGGCCCAGACUCCUACGGGAGGCAGCAGUGGGGAAUCUUAGACAAUGGGGAAACCCUGAUCUAGCCAUGCCGCGUGAUCGAUGAAGGCCUUAGGGUUGUAAAGAUCUUUCAGAUGGGAAGACUAACUGACGGUACCAUCAGAAGAAGCCCCGGCUAACUCCGUG